rnacentral:rRNA from 1 species
UGCCAGCAGCCGCGGUAAUACGUAGGUGGCAAGCGUUGUCCGGAUUUAUUGGGCGUAAAGAGUAUGUAGGCGGACUGUUAAGUCUGAUGUGAAAGCCCGGGGCUCAACCCCGGAAGUGCAUUGGAUACUGGCAGUCUUGAGUAUGGGAGAGGAAAGUGGAAUUCCGAGUGUAGGAGUGAAAUCCGGAGAUAUUCGGAGGAACACCAGUGGCGAAGGCGGCUUUCUGGACCAAUACUGACGCUGAGGUGCGAAAGCAUGGGGAGCGAACAGGAUUCGAUA